CCAAGGCUAAAUACUCGUAAUCGACCGAUAGUGAACCAGUACCGUGAGGGAAAGGCGAAAAGAACCCCGGGAGGGGAGUGAAAUAGAUCCUGAAACCGUGUGCAUACAAACAGUAGGAGCCUCCUUGAGGGGUGACUGCGUACCUUUUGUAUAAUGGGUCAGCGACUUACAUUCAGUGGCAAGGUUAACCGAAUAGGGAAGCCGUAGAGAAAUCGAGUCCGAACAGGGCGAUAGUCGCUGGGUGUAGACCCGAAA
rnacentral:rRNA from 2 species